AAGUGGACCGCACGUGACAGACGCUUAUGAACCCCGUCAGAUCCGGGAGGAAGCAGCGGUAAAUAAGGCAGCCUGUGUCGUGCUGCAAUCUAUUUUUU
rnacentral:SRP_RNA from 1 species